ensembl:lncRNA
UCGUGUCCCUGGCGUCUCCGGAGGGGCUGGCUCCCAGCUCCAUUCUGAGGAGUUGGAAUCCCACCCAGUCCUGUUGUUGUGAUCUCAAUUCAAGAGGAAGGUGUGAUAUGGCGUCUGUCUGGGUUGGACACCGAGGGACAAUGAGAGAUCAUCCAGGCUUUAACCCUUCUGUGGAUGCUGAGGCGAUUCAUAAGGCAGUCAGAGAAAUCGGAACUGAUGAGAAGACGCACAUCAGCAUUCUGACUGAGAGGUCGAAUGCACAGCGGCAGCUGACUGUUAAGGAAUAUCAAGUAGCAUAUGGAAAGGUGGCAGAACCUGUGGACCCAAAAGGAGCAGUUGCACCGGCAGGGACUAGGUGGACUUCGGGUCGCCAUGGAAAACUCUUGGUGGAGCACAGGCAAGAUUUGGGGCGGGAGGACCUGCACCACAUAAGAAAUACCCACCAGCUCUCAGAUCCUCGAGGGUUGUAGGAGCACCGAGACAUUCAAGCUGGGAAAUGAAGACUGUGAUAGGGCAGAGCGAGACCCAAGCUUCCCCGGGCAAUGGCAGCGUGAGCUCCUGUCCAACUGCCAAAAGAUGAGAGUUGGCAUCUUACCAGAAUGUUUGGAGGGAUAGGAUGAGAGGCGCCUGGCCAUUGGCCGGAAGCGCAUGGCGGGGGAGGGGGUUGCGGAAGCUGCCUCGUGAUUGGCCCGGGCCACGGGGAUGUCACAGGGAGGCAUUGUGACUUGAGGGCAAGGCAGUUAUAAAAGCCCAGUGCUUCCACCGUCUCCCAGACGGAGGAUAUGGCUUUUCAGCUGUUCCUGCUCUUGCUCUUCAAGGCGGUGUCCUCUGCCGCCUUCUCUGCGCCUGCACAUGGCAUGCCCCAGGCCCACCUGUCCUGCCCCGGGCCUCUCACCCACACUUGGUGUACCACAUUCCUGUUCGCAUCCAGCUUUGAGCCCCUUUGCGGGCGGAUGAGCCUACGCACCCGCACCCGGCGCCUCCUCCACCCGCAGCCCUCCUCGGGCCUGGCCCAGCUCCUCAACACUGUGCUCAGGUUCUACAACAGGGGCUUGGACGUCUGGAACCAGAACCAAGCAGACCCCCACGCGGAGGGGAAGCACCCCUCCCAGCCCUGUUGGCCAAGAGACCUGGACACGUGCCACGCCUCCAACUCCACACUGCACAGAAGGCAGCUGGCCACCCCUCCUCAGACAUCCAUGGACCCCAGAUCCAAGAUCUCCACCUUGGCCCUCCUGCUCCACAAAGGAGAGUCACAGACUCACAGGGCGAGUUCCUGUACCUCCUGCCCACCUCCAUGCAACCUCUCAAAGGGCUCUCCAGCCCAUGUGGGACCACCAGCCUGGGUGAGGCGACUGGUCCAGUUAGGGCCACCAGUCCUGGCAGGGCCAAAAGUCCAGGCAAGGCGACCAGCCCAGGUGGGACCACCAGCCCAGGUGAGGACACCAGCCCAGGAAGGACCAGCAGCCCAGAUGGGACCAGUGGCCCUGGUGAUGCUACCACCACAGGUGGGACCAACAGCCCAUGUGGGGACGUUUCCCCAGGCAGGAGCAACAGCCCAAGUGGGGCCACCAAGCCUUGCGGGACCAAUGGCCCCAAUAGGGACAGCAGCCCAGGUGAUGGGGCCACUAGACCAGGCCACGACUCCAGCUGAUGCCAGGCUACCAGCCCAGGCAGGCCCAGCAUACCAGGUGGGGCCACCACUCCAGGCAAGUCCACCAGCCCAGAUGUGUCCGUCACCCCAGGCGAGGCUACCAACCCAGGUGGGGACACCAGCUCCUCUGGUGCCACCAGCCCAGUCAGGUCCACCAGCCCAGGUGGGGCCAACACCCCAGGCGGGGACACCAGCCCAGGCAGGGACACCAGGAUCGGCGAGGAUACCAGCCCAGGCGGAACCAACAUGCCAGGCCAGGCCAACAGCCCAGACGGGGACACCAGCCAUGACAGAAACCCUGUGGUCACAGCUAGGCUUUGGAAACAUUGAGAGUUUGCUCCUUCUGUUGACUCGCUGUGCUCUGGUGCUGCUCUUUUCCUUCUGGACAUUUAUCUCAUGCAGAGAGAUAAAGGACUACCGUGAGUUCCAACAAGAGCAGCUGGCAGAGCUGGGCAAAGGAUUGAAGAUGAUGGGUAAAGCCCUGGGAGAACUUGAGAAGACACUAAAUGCAGAAAGAGAACAUAAAAAUCAUCUUUCCAAGGAGCUGUCUGAGCUGAAGGCAGAGCUCAGAAUUUCUGAAAAGGAAACAGAGAGAUGGAAAAAGCUGUUUUUUCUAUUGUCCCGGGCACAACACCUUUUGAAGGCCUUCCCGGAAGAUGCAAAGGGGCACUGUGUGCAGGUGGAGCAGGGCCCUUAGAGGCAGGCCCAGGCCUGGGAGCUGGAGAGUUUCUUCCUCCCUGUGCACGCCCCCUAGAGGGGGAGAAGAGGGGUGGGGAGGGAGGGCAAAGCGGAGGCUGGGGUAGGGGUGCUGGGACAGAGACGUGGCCUGAAUUUCAUGAUGUAUGUAUAUUUUGAAUAAAUAAUUGAAUGUUGG